rnacentral:rRNA from 1 species
AGUGAGGAAUAUUGGACAAUGGGCGCAAGCCUGAUCCAGCCAUGCCGCGUGCAGGAUGACGGUCCUAUGGAUUGUAAACUGCUUUUGUACGAGAAGAAACACUGAUUCGUGAAUCAGCUUGACGGUAUCGUAAGAAUAAGGAUCGGCUAACUCCGUGCCAGCAGCCGCGGUAAUACGGAGGAUCCAAGCGUUAUCCGGAAUCAUUGGGUUUAAAGGGUCCGUAGGCGGUUUAGUAAGUCAGUGGUGAAAGCCCAUCGCUCAACGGUGGAACGGCCAUUGAUACUGCUGAACUUGAAUUAUUAGGAAGUAACUAGAAUAUGUAGUGUAGCGGUGAAAUGCUUAGAGAUUACAUGGAAUACCAAUUGCGAAGGCAGGUUACUACUAAUUGAUUGACGCUGAUGGACGAAAGCGUGGGGAGCGAACAGGAUUAGAUACCCUGGUAGUCCACGCCGUAAACGAUGGAUACUAGCUGUUGGGAGCAA